UACGAAGGGGGCUAGCGUUGUUCGGAAUCACUGGGCGUAAAGGGCGCGUAGGCGGCCGCUCAAGUCGGGGGUGAAAGCCUGUGGCUUAACCACAGAAUUGCCCUUCGAUACUGUUUGGCUUGAGACCGGAAGAGGUUAGUGGAACUGCGAGUGUAGAGGUGAAAUUCGUAGAUAUUCGCAAGAACACCAGUGGCGAAGGCGGCUGACUGGUCCGGUUCUGACGCUGAGGCGCGAAAGCGUGGGGAGCAAACAGGG
rnacentral:rRNA from 1 species